rnacentral:rRNA from 1 species
AUGGCUCAGGACGAACGCUGGCGGCGUGCCUAAUACAUGCAAGUCGAACGCUUUUUCUUUCACCGGAGCUUGCUCCACCGAAAGAAAAAGAGUGGCGAACGGGUGAGUAACACGUGGGUAACCUGCCCAUCAGAAGGGGAUAACACUUGGAAACAGGUGCUAAUACCGUAUAACACUAUUUUCCGCAUGGAAGAAAGUUGAAAGGCGCUUUUGCGUCACUGAUGGAUGGACCCGCGGUGCAUUAGCUAGUUGGUGAGGUAACGGCUCACCAAGGCAACGAUGCAUAGCCGACCUGAGAGGGUGAUCGGCCACACUGGGACUGAGACACGGCCCAGACUCCUACGGGAGGCAGCAGUAGGGAAUCUUCGGCAAUGGACGAAAGUCUGACCGAGCAACGCCGCGUGAGUGAAGAAGGUUUUCGGAUCGUAAAACUCUGUUGUUAGAGAAGAACAAGGAUGAGAGUAAAAUGUUCAUCCCUUGACGGUAUCUAACCAGAAAGCCACGGCUAACUACGUGCCAGCAGCCGCGGUAAUACGUAGGUGGCAAGCGUUGUCCGGAUUUAUUGGGCGUAAAGCGAGCGCAGGCGGUUUCUUAAGUCUGAUGUGAAAGCCCCCGGCUCAACCGGGGAGGGUCAUUGGAAACUGGGAGACUUGAGUGCAGAAGAGGAGAGUGGAAUUCCAUGUGUAGCGGUGAAAUGCGUAGAUAUAUGGAGGAACACCAGUGGCGAAGGCGGCUCUCUGGUCUGUAACUGACGCUGAGGCUCGAAAGCGUGGGGAGCGAACAGGAUUAGAUACCCUGGUAGUCCACGCCGUAAACGAUGAGUGCUAAGUGUUGGAGGGUUUCCGCCCUUCAGUGCUGCAGCAAACGCAUUAAGCACUCCGCCUGGGGAGU